rnacentral:rRNA from 1 species
UCAGGACGAACGCUGGCGGCGUGCCUAAUACAUGCAAGUCGAGCGGACAGAAGGGAGCUUGCUCCCGGAUGUUAGCGGCGGACGGGUGAGUAACACGUGGGUAACCUGCCUGUAAGACUGGGAUAACUCCGGGAAACCGGAGCUAAUACCGGAUAGUUCCUUGAACCGCAUGGUUCAAGGAUGAAAGACGGUUUCGGCUGUCACUUACAGAUGGACCCGCGGCGCAUUAGCUAGUUGGUGGGGUAAUGGCUCACCAAGGCGACGAUGCGUAGCCGACCUGAGAGGGUGAUCGGCCACACUGGGACUGAGACACGGCCCAGACUCCUACGGGAGGCAGCAGUAGGGAAUCUUCCGCAAUGGACGAAAGUCUGACGGAGCAACGCCGCGUGAGUGAUGAAGGUUUUCGGAUCGUAAAGCUCUGUUGUUAGGGAAGAACAAGUGCGAGAGUAACUGCUCGCACCUUGACGGUACCUAACCAGAAAGCCACGGCUAACUACGUGCCAGCAGCCGCGGUAAUACGUAGGUGGCAAGCGUUGUCCGGAAUUAUUGGGCGUAAAGGGCUCGCAGGCGGUUUCUUAAGUCUGAUGUGAAAGCCCCCGGCUCAACCGGGGAGGGUCAUUGGAAACUGGGAAACUUGAGUGCAGAAGAGGAGAGUGGAAUUCCACGUGUAGCGGUGAAAUGCGUAGAGAUGUGGAGGAACACCAGUGGCGAAGGCGACUCUCUGGUCUGUAACUGACGCUGAGGAGCGAAAGCGUGGGGAGCGAACAGGAUUAGAUACCCUGGUAGUCCACGCCGUAAACGAUGAGUGCUAAGUGUUAGGGGGUUUCCGCCCCUUAGUGCUGCAGCUAACGCAUUAAGCACUCCGCCUGGGGAGUACGGUCGCAAGACUGAAACUCAAAGGAAUUGACGGGGGCCCGCACAAGCGGUGGAGCAUGUGGUUUAAUUCGAAGCAACGCGAAGAACCUUACCAGGUCUUGACAUCCUCUGACAACCCUAGAGAUAGGGCUUUCCCUUCGGGGACAGAGUGACAGGUGGUGCAUGGUUGUCGUCAGCUCGUGUCGUGAGAUGUUGGGUUAAGUCCCGCAACGAGCGCAACCCUUGAUCUUAGUUGCCAGCAUUUAGUUGGGCACUCUAAGGUGACUGCCGGUGACAAACCGGAGGAAGGUGGGGAUGACGUCAAAUCAUCAUGCCCCUUAUGACCUGGGCUACACACGUGCUACAAUGGACAGAACAAAGGGCUGCGAGACCGCAAGGUUUAGCCAAUCCCAUAAAUCUGUUCUCAGUUCGGAUCGCAGUCUGCAACUCGACUGCGUGAAGCUGGAAUCGCUAGUAAUCGCGGAUCAGCAUGCCGCGGGUGAAUACGUUCCCGGGCCUUGUACACACCGCCCGUCACACCACGAGAGUUUGCAACACCCGAAGUCGGUGAGGUAACCUUUAUGGAGCCAGCCGCCGAAGGUGGGGCAGAUGAUUGGGGGUGAAGUCGUAACAAGGUAGCCGUAUCGGAAG